CCCACCACGUACGCCGCGCGGCCAUUGCGUGACUGUCCUCUCCAAACGGUGUGGCUGGAUCUCGUCUGUAUGCACGCCCCAAGCAACUGUCGCUGGCGACUUGGCUAGAAUGAUCGACUAAGGCGCGAGUUAGAUACAGUCUCACCGUUUGAGAUGGCGGAUGCGGGUGGAAAGAAAGGGAUAGAGAGAAAGAAAGAGAGAGAGAAAGGGUUGCUGUAAAGCAGGUGCAGGCGAUACCUUGGGAUUUCGUACGCGCAUACACAUACACACAUCAGCCCUCCUGCCUGUCGUCGAUUUGGUUUGUAAACUGUAUCGAAACCAAAGUACUUUUACUACUUAGAGUUUGUUUGCUAUAAUAUAUUUAACAUGUGUAUAUACUUAAAGCAAAAUAUUCUUAAAAAACGUAAAGGAGGAAAAAUUUUCAUAUUGUUUUAGAAGUACUUUCAAGUUCCUUAAAUCUGUAAAAUAAAUAUAUUAUAAGACUGCCUUGCAUUGUGAUAAUAAUUCUAUCAGUGUGUAGCAUUUAAACUUUUCUUGAUCCUGAACAUUAUAAUAAGCAAUUAACAGUAAAAUUAUAAUAAAUAAUUUUCAGAAAGCUGUAAAACAUUUUUAUCUUUUUAAAUUGUAAAUUGCAACAUUUUAUGUAUCAACUUUCACUAAUUAUCAAGGUUCUCAACAUUGACGGAUCUAUCUCUCUCUCGCAUAUUUCUAAGAUGCUUUAUUCUGUUUAGGAUCAAGAUAACAAAAACAAAGGAUCUCAAUUAUUAUUGUAAGACAUUGUGAUACUUUUAAUUUUGUAUUAAAUAAUUUGUAAAUAACAAAACUGUGAUACAGAUUAAACGAGAAGAUAAAGUGAGACGUUCUGAGAGGAGUGUAAGAUAAAUAAAUACAUUUUUUGCAAGUAACAAUAUAGAACUAUUCCUUGUCAACUUCUCUAUUCACCAACUUAUUAAUGCCGUCAAUCCUUUUCAGUCUGGCACAUAGACAUCAUAGAAAAUACACCUUAUCGCGAACAAAGGGCCAUGGCUGCCAAUAUGGACGACGUCGUCGUCGUCAUCGGCUUAGAAAACGUACCUAUAAGAUUGCAGUAAGCGAAAGAACCAUAAGGGAGUAUUAUCUGCGUUUUGAGUGAGAGGGAAGAAGAAAGGUCUGUUUCUAGAGGCUGGUCGAAUCGACGCACAAGCAAACGUUAUCUUCUGCACGAAUCGUCACAAUACCGAGCUCAUGUGUGUUUGGUAACUACGGACAAUGAGAAACGACUUUCAUGCAGUGAGUCUUCAUUCCCCUCCGAAAAUCGAUCGUUUUCUCAAGUCCGAAACAAGUUCGUUCUCGUUGAGUAACAUAGGAUAAUGAUGCGGAAAACCGUACCCUAAGGUUGCAGGUAUACUUCAAGUAAGGUAACUCGUCAUGCAAGCAUGCGAAUAACCUAUUUGAGUUGCCGAAAGUUUCUCCUCUUUGUUGCCACGUAUAUACGCUUGUCCUGGCGUUGCCAUAAUAAUGUGUUCAUAGAUCUACGCAACCUUCGGCCACGCCGAGACCACGACCAGGAUAGGAUGCGUGUUUUAGAUGUUUGGAGAGGGAGAUUUGAGAGCUACCGGAGACUUAAGCAAGUGAAGGAUACGAAAAAUUAUCAAUGUAAAGAAAGUAUACGCGCAAGGAUACAUUGUAUAUGAGAAGUGGAAGAUGUUAGGUUUUCUCGACUCGGUAACAUUGGUUUCAUCUGAAAGUAGGGAUAUUGAAUUUUAUUUAUUUUCUAAUAGACGAUAAUAUGCAUCUUAAUAUCUUUUUGGAAACGUAAUAUCCAAUUAAUUAUGAGAAAUCUGGAUAUUCGAGGAUCUAAGAACUUAUCGAAGGAAAUCGAUCUUGGAACUGUGAGGAAUCCACGUGCACGUGCGAAAAUCUUUAUUAUCCCAAGCUUUCAGAAUAAAGUCUAGGGUAUUGAGAAAGAAACUUGGUAUUUUCCCAAUCUUAGCCGAUCACUCUAAGGAUCUUAAGUCUACUAAGAAAUGAACUGAGGCACACACGAAGAAGGAAAAAUCAUACAUAAAAUGAAACAAAGAGAUACUGUUAUAUAUAAAAGGGCGCACAACAAAUAGGAGCACUAUAUCAAUACCAAUUGAACGGAACUUUCUAUUAACUUGGUGAAGCUAGUUAAGUGGAUAUAUGUAUAUAUUUCGACUUUUUAUCAAAUUGUUUAUUUGAUAAUUAUAAGUGUAUUACAUAGUAAACUAGACAACUCAGUUUGUGGUGAUGCAGUAUGAAGUAUUUGUAUGGUAACAAAUAUCGAAUUUUUUUUCUUGACAAUAUCAUUUUCUACAGAAACAUUCUUUAUAGAGAUGAAAAGGGACAAAUAUAAAAUAGGCGGGGGGGGAGGGGUGCAAAUGAGAAAUCUUUUUGAUUGACAGAAAGCUGUGUAUGUUCGGAAGAUCUCUCGUCCCAUUCGACCCGCUGGACCUGUGAGGAAUAUGGUUUAAGUUGUUCAAGAUUAUACUUGGUGUACCCAUGUAAAAUGCAGUCUAUUGAACGUGACCAUCGUGGAGGUUUGAUUUGAUGGACGGCUUGAAAGAGAGAAUGAGAAUGAGUGAAUUUUCCAGCGUAACUAGCUAUCGUUCUUUAUCUCAUAAUCCCUAUGUCAUAUUCGUAAUAUAUCUACAUGUUGCAUUUUGCUUUGCUCGGUUCUCUUUAUGUUUUACAUAGCAGGCAGCAGAACGAAAGAGCUGUAAGAUAUAAGCCUUUCAUAGAUUAGAGAAACGGCCCCGACGUAUUACUGUCUACACAUCUAAUUCGACAACCUAAGACAUUGGUCCGUGAUCAUCGGAAGGUACCGUUGGAUUUGCGUGUUGCGUGAAAACGACAAAGGUAACGAGAGAUCAUUAUAACAGACGAUCCAUUGUUGAUCUUUGAUCCUUGUACCUUGCGAAUGCAAAUAUUGGAAGGGGAGGGGAAGCGGGGCAAAACAUAUGUUUUUAUGAGUCAUAGGAAGAUGCUGUUCUACACAAAGGCGAUAAAGGAAAAUGCGCUUGGAUGGUGUUUUGAGAUGGCACAAGAUUACUAGAUAAAAUCGCUGGUCACAUACUGAUGUGUUAAUACGCUGAUGUCCCCUACUUUGAUUAGUUUGGCAAGAUGUAAUCUCAUCUGAAUCCGCAACGAAAGUUCGCACUAGACUUCUGCAAGGAUACAUUGAGUUCAUGGACCUUUGAAAAUCUCGGAUGAAUUAAGUUUAAGAAUGGCAGCCAAUAAUCGAAGAGCUAAGAAUAGAAAGCUUCAAGAAUUUAAGAACUUGAGAAUUUACUUUCGGAAUUCAAAAAUCUAUAGAUAUCUAAGAAUCUAAAAUUAGUUUUGGAUAAUAUUUCCUUUUCAGAUCGCUUUGUUUUUAUCAUUAAUUUAAUUAGAACGGAAUUGUUUUAUCGUAAUUUGGAUAUAACUUCAAAAUUUUUAUUUUGUAGAAGAAAUCGUAAUAAUAUAUUUAUCUAUUAUGGAACAAUCUUAUAUCUAAAGAAUGAAGGUACUUUGCGAAAAAUCUAUAUAAAAUAAUCUGAAAUUUUUUAACUCGAAAAGAAGAAAAGAUUUGACUCCCAUAUAUACACACAUACAUAUAUUGUUUUUCGAAGGUAUUGAUUUCAAAAGUACUUGAAAGAGAAAAAGAGGUAUAUAAUGUUUUAUUACAAUAAUUCGAAUAAUUUAUUACAAUUUAUCAGAAUUCAUUGAUUGUCAAUAUGUAGGUCUCUUAAUCUUUUAGUUAGAUCUUCUAUGAGAGGUAUAUAAUGGUGGCAAAUACCACUAAUAGGGAGGGAGAAAUAAAAUAUUACUUUGUUUUUCCACAGAAAGCAGUCAUUCGAAUUACAACAUUCGUUACAUCCAAAAUGUAUUUUAGUCAUGGAAUGAGUAGGAUGCAGGUUCGAUCAUUUAAGACACAAAUGGUUCACAAUGAGAUCAUACCAUAUUUCUAAGGAAACAAGGAAAUAAUAUGAAAAUUGAUAUACUAGUUGGAAAGAGGAUAUAGUGAAAAGAUUAAGGUUCAACUUUCGACGGAGUUCUUAGCAAGUUAUGUCGCCGAGAUAGAUUUAGGUUUUGCAACAGAGCGAGAUUAAAAGAUAUAAUUUUCUCGAAAAGGAUGAGAAUUACACAAAGUUUGAUAUAAAUUAUGUGGACUCGUGCGGACCGAAUAUGUAGACUUUGGGCUUUAAUAGAAUUAAUUAGGAAGAAGAUGAGAUAAUUGAUGAUAUAAUUAAGAGGAAGAUGAUAAUAGCAUGAUUCGAUAAAAUGCAAUAGCUUAUUAAGAAAAAAUGGAGUAGAACAGUAACACAGGUAAGCAAAAGCUGCAAGAUUUUAGGUUCCAGGUAAUGAUUUUUAGAAAAGACCUUUUGCGGUCGUGCUUUUUUAAUCGCUUAAAUACCAAGCUGAGAAAUUAACGUUAAUUUUUUUUAGCAAUUAAUUAUUGAGCGUUGAAAAAUUAGCAUUAAUACUGGCUUUCAAAAAGAUUUCUUAAAUCUCAUUAUGAGAUAUUUAAUUCUAAUUUUACAAAAAACAUUUACAAAAAUUUACAAAGAUAAUUGAAAAUGAGGUGAAAACUAAUUUUAUAUCCAUUUUAGAUUAAAUUUGUUGAAUUAGAUCAAAUCACUAACUAUAACAGAUACCUCAAAAUUCAAAUUGAUUUCAAUUCCAGCAUACUAGUACAUUUGUUAUAUUUGCGUUUAGUAAAUAUGCAGACUCAUAUCUUAAGACGUUUUAAUAAGGUAUAUUUAUGUUUUUCUUUUUUCCAUAUUUUAUAAAUAUACAUUUAAGAAUAUUGGAAGAGAGUGAUGCCUAUAUACAAGGUAGUCGCGUUUUAAAAAUGGAACUGAAUGGAACUUGCAUUUGAACGAAGCGAUGACUUGCACUUCCGUUCCUCAGUGUCAUCAUGAACAGUCUUACAUUUCUUUUUUGUACCCUGAAGAAGCUUGAUUCCAUUUUCUCUCUCGCUUAUGAGAUUUUAUUGCAGUCGACCAAAGAGGCAUCUUGGAUGUGUGUUAUCCGUCUCUCUAAAACUUUGCCUACUAACGGAGUGUUUUAGAGAGGCACAAAAGUGCUCAACCAAGUCAUAAUCAUCGGCCUUUCAAAUUCGACGCUGGUCUCCAAACACUUGCUCGACUGCGUGAGCGUGUGAGUUUUGGUUCUCGAUUCUUGUCGUUGGCUGUCUUUGAGAUCUUAAAAGGGUGUUCUCUUCUGGACAUACGAGGCUUCCAUUUAUUCAUCGUCUGUGAGAUUCUUCAACAACUAGGAUUUCGUCAAAAAAUCAUCGUGGAUCUUCAAUGUAAAAUAGAAUCGUCGAAACUUGCAAGGGGAUGGUUUUUUCAACAUUCACACACCGAUAUGAAAUAUGCAGAGUUCCAGCAAAACGGCAAAUCCUUCUUCCUAAAAAAAAUUUAUUUUACCAAAUGCUGUGAAAAAUCGCCUAUUGUUAAAGAAAUAUUAGAUGCUGAGAAAACUUGUAAUAGGAAAAUGGAGCAUCAUAGAGAAUCAUAGAACUUUAUGGAACUUUGUCGUGAAAGAAGAUUUUAUCGCGGAAUU